rnacentral:rRNA from 1 species
CAGCAGCACGGGAAUACGGAGGGGGCUAGCGUUGUUCGGAAUUACUGGGCGUAAAGCGCACGUAGGCGGCUUGGUAAGUUAGAGGUGAAAGCCCAGGGCUCAACCCUGGAAUUGCCUUUAAGACUGCCGAGCUAGUAGGUGAGAGAGGUGAGUGGAAUUCCGAGUGUAGAGGUGAAAUUCGUAGAUAUUCGGAAGAACACCAGUGGCGAAGGCGGCUCACUGGCUCAUUCUAGACGCUGAGGUGCGAAAGCGUGGGGAGCAAACAGGAUUAGAUACCCCCGUAGUCCCUGUCUCUUAUACA